UGUUUAAGUUAUAUAUGCUGUGUUUUGUGUUUUAAUUAAGAAAUAAUAGCCCUAACCGGUUUGGCUCAGUGGAUAGAGUGUCAGCCUGCGGACUGAAGGGUCCCAGAUUCGAUUCCGGUCAAGGACAUGUAUCUUGGUUGUGGGCACAUCCCUAGUAGGGGGUAAGCAGGAGGCAACUGAUCGAUGUUUCUCUCUCAUCGAUGCUUCUAACUCUCUAUCCCUCUCCCUUCCUCUCUGUAAAAAAUCAAUAUAAAAAAAUUUAAAAAAGAAAUAAUAAAACUAGAUCAUGUGAUUUACCUGAAUUUAGAGUUUGUUUUCUACGUAUUUCAAUUUAAUUCAAUUUAGUUAUAUUAUUGUUUUAAAGUUACUGAUGUUCAUGUUGUAUGGUGGGAAAACCAAGGAAUGGGAGUUCGGUCUGGGGUCAAGCUGUGCGGCCUCACUUAACUCCCCUGAGCAGUGGGAGGAGAUGAGACAAAACUAUCUGAAAUCACAUUGCCAACCAUAAAACUCUAUUAAAAUCCUGACAUUUAGUUCCGCAUUCUUUGUUCUGAUGUUAAAGUACAGUUCAUUGUUAAUAACUCGAGCUGUUAAUGAGUAUUAUAUAAUCAGGCUUCUUUGGGGGUCUGUACACAACCUAUUGGCUACACACUGGCAUUGAAAUACUCGAAUUACAUUUCCAUUUCAACUGAUUGCUUUGCUGAUCUGCAAGGUCUCAUGCUAAUGUGAAAGGAGGAAAGAGAAGAGAAGGCUUGGGACUGAGCAGCAUUUUCCAAUUAACAGAACAUGGAUCUGGCACCUUUCUUCUUUAUAAAGAGGGGGGAGCGGUCCCCAGAUAGAAUGAGCUUAUCGUGCAUUCUACCUGCAGCUUACAGAAUUGCUGGGAGGGCUGGAGAGCUGAGCUGGAGGCUUGGCAGCAGGGACAAUGUCCAGAAUCACACCUGCAAUCCCAUCUGGUGAGAACAGCUCCUGCUGCCUUCUGUACCAAAUGCUCCACCAGCCCUCCCAUCCUAUGAUGCUGGUGGCCUCGUGACUCGGAUUCAGCCACAGCAAACUUAUAGAAAGCUGCAACCCCCAGGGAGACAACGAUGGCUCCAACAAUAUGAAAUUGCAGACACUUGGUCAGAAAGACACACAUCAGAAGUUUUGCCAAAGCACUGGAAGCAAUGUCCCCAAACAGAAACUCUACAAAAGAAUGAACCUGAAGAUCAUUUCUACCUGUUCAAAUGCUAUCCUAUCGCUAUAUUCAUGCCUAUGAAGUCUCUUUGUGCAUAGGGCAGGAAAAGGUGUGUGACAGGUGGCUCCUUGAUUUUCUUCUAUUCUCGUGAUGAGAAAUUGGUGCCGAAUGACUGGACUACAGUAAUUCCUCUUCAUCUUUGUGACAUUCAGGUCCUCAGCAGCUCGCAUCUAGGCUGGGAUGGCCACCCACCUGGUCUUCCCAUCUCUGUUUUGUGAUAAGGCAGAGACAAGGAGCCUGAUGAUGUAGCCUUCCCAGGUCAGCUUCCUGGGUCAGAGUGGAGAAGUGAGAAAUGAGCUCAGAAGAGAGCCCUCAGCUCCAGAUAAAAACACAGCUGGCUAACAUCUUGAUUCCAGCCUGAGCAGAGAAGUCAGCCAUGCUGAGCUGGACUUCCAACCUACAGCACUGUGAGCUAAUAAAUAGGUGCCAUUCUAAACUGCUAAAAAAAAAAAAAAAUUGUUCUUAACUCUGGCCGGUGUGCUCAGUUAGUUGGGCAUCAUCCUGUGCACUGAAAGGUUGAGGGUCAAUUCCCGGCCAGUGCACAUGCCCAGUGUGGGCUCGAUCCCCAGUAGGGACUCUCUCUCCACCAUUCCUCUCUCUCUAAAAAUCAAUAAAAAUAUACUUUAAAAAUUUGCCCUUAGUUUUAACAUGAUUUUGAAGAAUUGGUGACUACAAAGUAGACAACUGGCAUCCUUUCUAUCCCUUCCUUUGUUGGUUCCUCAGUUAUAGAACAUUUAUGUCUCUUAAAAAAAAAAAAAAACAGAUUGCAAAUUGGGUUCCACAUUUUUUCCUACCAGUCAAAUUGGUCAAGAAAUUUCGCCUUCUCACCUGGAUGAAUUAAAAGACCUGACAUUGAGAUGACCACCUAUGUCCAUGCCCUGGUGUCAAGAAUCAACUUGAGAAUGGGUCUAUCACAUUUGAACUGUAUUAAGAUAUCUGAGAGAAGAUUCCAAGAUCUUGCCUGUAUUUAUAUGUUUAUUUUUUUGUGGUAAAUAUACAUAAACUUUACCAUUUUAAC